rnacentral:tRNA from 1 species
GCCCAGAUGGCGGAAUUGGUAGACGCGCAGGUUUCAGGUACCUGUGCCGCGAGGCGUGGAGGUUCGAGUCCUCUUUUGGGCACCA